UUUGAUCUUGGCUCAGGACGAACGCUGGCGGCGUGCUUAACACAUGCAAGUCGAACGGUGAAGCGCCUUCCUUUUGGUGGGUGUGGAUGAGUGGCGAACGGGUGAGUAACACGUGAGUAACCUGCCCCCUUCUUCUGGAUAACCGCAUGAAAGUGUGGCUAAUACGGGAUAUUCUGGGUCUGUCGCAUGGUGGGCCUGGGAAGGAUGCGCCUUUGGGUGUUCUUGGUGGGGGAUGGGCUCGCGGCCUAUCAGCUUGUUGGUGGGGUGAUGGCCUACCAAGGCGGUGACGGGUAGCCGGCCUGAGAGGGUGGACGGUCACACUGGGACUGAGACACGGCCCUGACUCCUACGGGAGGCAGCAGUGGGGAAUAUUGCACAAUGGGCGCAAGCCUGAUGCAGCGACGCCGCGUGAGGGAUGGAGGCCUUCGGGUUGUAAACCUCUUUCGCCAGUGAAGCAGGCCUGUCCCUUUUGUGGGUGGGUUGACGGUAGCUGGAUAAGAAGCGCCGGCUAACUACGUGCCAGCAGCCGCGGUAAUACGUAGGGCGCGAGCGUUGUCCGGAAUUAUUGGGCGUAAAGAGCUCGUAGGCGGCUGGUCGCGUCUGUCGUGAAAUCCUCUGGCUUAACUGGGGGCUUGCGGUGGGUACGGGCCGGCUUGAGUGCGGUAGGGGAGACUGGAACUCCUGGUGUAGCGGUGGAAUGCGCAGAUAUCAGGAAGAACACCGGUGGCGAAGGCGGGUCUCUGGGCCGUUACUGACGCUGAGGAGCGAAAGCGUGGGGAGCGAACAGGAUUAGAUACCCUGGUAGUCCACGCCGUAAACGUUGGGCACUAGGUGUGGGGGGCCUUUUCCGGGUCUUCCGCGCCGUAGCUAACGCAUUAAGUGCCCCGCCUGGGGAGUACGGCCGCAAGGCUAAAACUCAAAGGAAUUGACGGGGGCCCGCACAAGCGGCGGAGCAUGCGGAUUAAUUCGAUGCAACGCGAAGAACCUUACCAAGGCUUGACAUGUGCCGGUCGGCUCCGGAGACGGGGUUUCCUCCUUGUGGGGCCGGUUCACAGGUGGUGCAUGGUUGUCGUCAGCUCGUGUCGUGAGAUGUUGGGUUAAGUCCCGCAACGAGCGCAACCCUUGUCCCGUGUUGCCAGCACGUUGUGGUGGGGACUCGCGGGAGACUGCCGGGGUCAACUCGGAGGAAGGUGGGGAUGACGUCAAAUCAUCAUGCCCCUUAUGUCUUGGGCUUCACGCAUGCUACAAUGGCCGGUACAGAGGGCUGCGAUACCGUGAGGUGGAGCGAAUCCCUUAAAGCCGGUCUCAGUUCGGAUCGGUGUCUGCAACUCGACACCGUGAAGUUGGAGUCGCUAGUAAUCGCAGAUCAGCAACGCUGCGGUGAAUACGUUCUCGGGCCUUGUACACACCGCCCGUC
rnacentral:rRNA from 1 species